CCUACGGGGGGCAGCAGUGGGGAAUAUUGGACAAUGGGGGAAACCCUGAUCCAGCGACGCCGCGUGAGUGAAGAAGGAUUUCGGGACGUAAAGCUCUAUCAGCAGGAAAGAAAAUGACGGUACCUGACUAAGAAGCCCCGGCCAACUACGUGCCAGCAACCGCGGUAAUACGUAGGGGGCGAGCGUUAUCCGGAUUUACGGGGUGUAAAGGGAGCGUAGACGGCAGGGCAAGUCAGGAGUGAAAUGCCGGGGCCUAACCCCGGAACUGCUCUGGAGACUGUGAAGCUGGAGUGCAGGAGAGGUAGGCGGAAUUCCUGGUGUAGCGGUGAAAUGCGUAGAUAUCAGGAGGAACACCGGCGGCGAAGGCGGCUUACUGGACUGUAACUGACGUUGAGGCUCGAAGGCGUGGGGAGCAAACAGGAUUAGAUACCCUGGUAGUC
rnacentral:rRNA from 1 species